rnacentral:misc_RNA from 1 species
AACGCACAUUGCGCCCCUUGGUAUUCCAUGGGGCAUGCCUGUUCGAGCGUCAUUUGUACCCUCAAGCUUAGCCUUGGUGUUGGGUGUUUGUCCUGCCCUCGCGGUGGACUCGCCUUAAAGUGAUUGGCAGCCGGAAUAAUUCUGGGGAACGCAGCACAACUGCAGCCUUCAGUCUUAUACGCCGAGCGUCCAACAAGCCUUUUAUUCUUGCGUUUGACCUCGGAUCAGGUAGGGAUACCCGCUGAACUUAA